GUCGUGGGGGUACUUGUAGGGUCGUGGGUGGGGUCGUGAGGGACGUGGGGACGCUUGUAGGAUCAUGGGUGGGGUCAUGAAGGGACACGGGGAUACUUGUAGGAUCAUGGGUGCGGUCGUGAGGGACGUGGGGACGCUUGUAGGGGCAUGGGUGGGGUCAUGAAGGGACAUAGGGAUACUUGUAGGAUCAUGGGUGGGGUCAUGAGAGACACGGGGAUACUUGUAGGAUCAUGGGUGGGGUCAUGAAGGGACAUAGGGAUACUUGUAGGAUCAUGGGUGGGGUCAUGAGGGGCGUGGGGACAGUUGUAGGGUCACGGUUGGGGUCGUGAAGGGUCGUGGGGGUACUUGUAGGGUCGUGGGUGGGGUUGUGAGGGACAUGGGGACACUUGUAGGAUCACGGGUAUGGUCGUGAGGGGCAUGGGGACGCUUGUAGGAUCAUGGGUGGGGUCAUGAGGGACACGGGGAUACUUGUAGGAUCAUGGGUGGGGUCGUGAGGGACGUGGGGACAGUUGUAGGGUCACGGUUGGGGUCGUGAAGGGUCGUGGGGGUACUUGUAGGGUCGUGGGUGGGGUCGUGAGGGACGUGGGGACGCUUGUAGGAUCAUGGGUGGGGUCAUGAAGGGACACGGGGAUACUUGUAGGAUCAUGGGUGCGGUCGUGAGGGACAUGGGGACGCUUGUAGGGGCAUGGGUGGGGUCAUGAAGGGACAUAGGGAUACUUGUAGGAUCAUGGGUGGGGUCAUGAGAGACACGGGGAUACUUGUAGGGUCACGGUUGGGGUCGUGAAGGGUCGUGGGGGUACUUGUAGGGUCGUGGGUGGGGUCGUGAGGGACGUGGGGACGCUUGUAGGAUCAUGGGGAUACUUGUAGGAUCAUGGGUGGGGUCGUGAGGGACGUGGGGACAGUUGUAGGGUCACGGUUGGGGUCGUGAAGGGUUGUGGGGGUACUUGUAGGGUCGUGGGUGGGGUCGUGAGGGACAUGGGGACACUUGUAGGAUCUUGGGGAUACUUGUAGGAUCAUGGGUGGGGUCGUGAGGGGCGUGGGGACAGUUGUAGGGUCACGGUUGGGGUCGUGAAGGGUCGUGGGGGUACUUGUAGGGUCGUGGGUGGGGUCGUGAGGGACAUGGGGACACUUGUAGGAUCACGGGUAUGGUCGUGAGGGACGCGGGGACGCUUGUAGGAUCAUGGGUGGGGUCAUGAGGGACACGGGGAUACUUGUAGGGGCAUGGGUGGGGUCAUGAGGGACAUGGGGACGCUUGUAGGGUCAUGGUUAUGGCCAAUAGGGGACAAUGCUACUUGUAGGG